AAACUGCAGCUUCCGGUAUUGCAGACGUAUGUGGUUAACUACGUCACAUCCGGGCCGGUGCUCCACUUUCCCCGGGAGCAGCUGAUCGUUGAGACUGAAGACAAUGAAUCUGUUUUAAUGAUGAAAAGAAGUGCAGAAAUGAAGCCAGGCCGUGUUCUACCCAGAUCUCCUGACUGACGUCUGGUCCUCAUGUCGGAGUUUGGCUGAACUGAAAAAUCCAGAACUGCAGAGAUGAAACCAGGCCGUGUUCUACCCAGAACUCCUGACUGACGUCUGGUCCUCAUGUCGGAGUUUGACUGAACUGAAAAAUCCAGGUUUUCAGGACCUUCUGGAUUCUCUACAGAAGAUGUUUGACUCAGCAUCGUCGGUGCUGUCUGGACUCUGAGGUGCAGGAAACACACGAGGAAGUGAAACACAGAAGUAUCCAGAGCUGCGGCUGGUCAUCCUGUGGACUUCUCUCUUUAAGACACAUGAUGUCACAUGAAGAACUAAUGUGGAACAAAGAGAAAUGUUACGAUCACUGAAUUAAAAUCUGUGCAGGAUUUAUUUUACCUUAUUUGAAAUGAUCCAAGUGUCCAGUGAAUAUACAGAUAAAUAAAAACAAGGUUUACCAACUGUUGCCUUGUCGCUCGAGCAUUUAUUUUUUGUUUUGCGUAAAGAAUUUGUGAAACUCUGCUGAAAUAAAAUAUCUGAACUCA